GGUUCGAUUAUGGCUCAGAUUGAACGCUGGCGGGAUGCUUUACACAUGCAAGUCGAACGGCAGCACGGACUUCAGUCUGGUGGCGGUGGCGAACAGGUGAGUAAUGUAUCGGAGACGUUACUGGCAAACGCGGGGAUAACUACGCGGCGUAGCUAAUACCGCAUACGCCCUUCCGGGGAAAGCAGGGGACCUUCGGGCCUCGCACUAUUAGAGCGGCCGAUAUCGGAUUAGCUAGUUGGUGGGGUAACGGCUCACCAAGGCGACGAUCCGUAGCUGGUUUGAGAGGACGACCAGCCACACUGGGACUGAGACACGGCCCAGACUCCUACGGGAGGCAGCAGUGGGGAAUUUUGGACAAUGGGGAAACCCUGAUCCAGCCAUCCCGCGUGUGCGAUGAAGGCCUUCGGGUUGUCAAAGCACUUUUUGGCAGGAAAGAAACAGCACGGAUAAUACCCGUACAGCUGACGGUACCUGCAGAAUAAGCACCGGCUAAUACGUGCCAGCAGCCGCGGUAAUACGUAAGUGCAAGCGUUAAUCAGGUACUGGGCGUAAAGCGUGCGCAGGCGGUUCGGAAAGAAAGAUGUGAAAUCCCAGAACUUAACUUUGGAACUGCAUUUUAACUACCGAGCUAGAGUGUGUCAGAGGAGGUGGAAUUCCGUGUAGCAGUGAAAUGCGCGUAGAUAUGCGGAGGAACACCGAUGGCGAGGCAACCUCCUGGGAUAACACUGACGCUCAUGCACAGCGUGGGGGCAAACAGGAUUAGAUACCCUGGUAGUCCACGCCCUAAACGAUGUCAACUAGCUAUUUUGCGGGCCUUCGGGCCUUGACUAGCGCAGCUAACGCGUGAGGCACGACCGCCUGGGAGUACGGUCGCAAGAUUAAAACUCAAGGUGGCGGGGACCCGCACAAGCAGUGGAUGAUGUGGAUUAAUUCAGUGCAACGCGAAAACCUUACCUGCCCUUGACAUGUCUGGAAUCCCGAAGAUUUGGGAGUGCUCGCAAGAGAACCGGAACACAGGUGCUGCAUGGCUGUCGUCAGCUCGUGUCGUGAGAUGUUGGGUUAAGUCCCGCAACAGGCGCAACCCUUGUCAUUAGUUGCUACGAGGAGCACUCUAAUGAGACUGCCGGUGACAAGCCGGAGGAAGGUGCAGGGAUGACGUCAAGUCCUCAUGGCCCAUAUGGGUAGGGCUUCACACGUCAUACAAUGGUCGGGACAGAGGGUCUAGCCAACCCGCGAGGAGCCAAUCCCAAGAAGCCCGAUCGUAGUCCGGAUCGCAGUCUGCAACUCUCGACUGCGUGAAGUCGGAAUCGCUAGUAAUCGCGGAUCAGCAUGUCGCGGUGAAUACGUUCGGGUCUUGUACACACCGCCCGUCACACCAUGGGAGUGGGUUUUACCAGAAGUAGUUAGCCUAACCGUAAGGAGGGCGAUUACCACGGUAGGAUUCACGCCGGCUUCUGGGGUGAAGUCGUAACAAAAAGGUAA
rnacentral:rRNA from 1 species